rnacentral:rRNA from 1 species
UACGGAGGGUGCAAGCGUUAUCCGGAUUUACUGGGUUUAAAGGGUGCGCAGGCGGAUAUGUAAGUCAGUGGUGAAAUCUCCGGGCUUAACCCGGAAACUGCCGUUGAUACUAUAUAUCUUGAAUGCUGUGGAGGUAAGCAGAAUAUGUCAUGUAGCGGUGAAAUGCUUAGAGAUGACAUAGAAUACCGAUUGCGAAGGCAGCUUACUACGCAGAUAUUGACGCUCAUGCACGAAAGCGUGGGGAUCAAACAGG